AACCAGGUCAACUCCCUGUUACCAGUUAUACUCAGUGCUCAGUCAAUGCAGGUGUCCAAAUUGAGGAGACAGUUUCUUCAAAUCUACAAAGGUAUGGACCAAAGGCUAGACUUGAGUGAAACUGGGACGCGGUCAGCAUUGUUUCUGAUGCUUUUUCGUCUCACUACAUGCAAAUUGAAGCACCCAGUUCCCCACUCCUAGGAUCCAGCCACUGCAUCGCUUUGUUUAAUUUCUGCUAAAGCAGUGCAUGUCAAACUUAAGUUAAUUAUGAUCACCUGGGGGAACUGCGAAACCUAUUAAUUUCUGGUCUUCACCCUGACUAAUUAAACCAAAAUCAGUGGAGUAAGGCUUCAGAACUAGCAUUUUCAAUGCUUCUCAGGUGCUUUUCAUUGGCUCAAGCUUGAGAAGCCCUGCCCUAAAGUGGUGGUUGGCAAGACUGGACCUUUCCCUGGCGUUUUUAAUUUUAACAGAGACCUCUUUAAUGAGAGACCACUCUCAAGUCCAAAGGAGCAGAUCUCUAAUGGAAUUUGGGGCACCUGUCAGGAUCCUAUUCCGAAGCAGAGGGCUAGUCUGCAGCUGUUAAAUUUUUUUUUAAAGAUUUUAUUUUUUUCCUUUUUCUCCCUAAAGCCCCCCAGUACAUAGUUGUAUAUUCUUCAUUGUGGGUCCUUCCAGUUGUGGCAUGUGGGACGCCGCCUCAGCGUGGUUUGAUGAGCAGUGCCGUGUCCGUGCCCAGGAUUCGAAACCAACGAAACACUGGGCCGCCUGCAGCGGAGUGCGUGAACUUAACCACUCAGCCACGGGGUAAGCCCCUGCAGCUGUUAAAUUUUGCAAGUCAAGAUCAAGUGGAGAAGGAGAUGCUACCAGAUGAGGAAAUCAAAGCCCAGAGAAGUCAAGCAACUUGUCCAAGAUUGCAGAGCUGGUGUGUCUUGAGGGGAAAAAUCAAGAAGCAUCUUGAACAGCAGCAGCUGUAAGCAGGGAAUAAUGGGCGGCAGGCAGACUGAGAAGCCAACAUGUUUUUCUGAAUGGAGGCUUCUGGGCUAAAGAAGAUCCCAGUUCUGUUGGAGGAGCAUGGCCCUGGCCCAGCACCUUGUUCUGUUCCAAGCAGAUCGUUCAAAGGGGAUUUUAAGCUCCCAGAAAAUGGGGUCUUUGUCUAAUUCACUGCCACGUCCUCAGCACCUAGCGCAAUCCUUGACCCAUAGCACGUGUUCACUAACUGUUUGUGAAGCAAAUGAAUAAACGGACAUCUCCCCAGGCCUGCAGGCAAAGGACAGAGGGAAUUUGUGACAAAUCGUUACCUCACAUUCACGUUUUCUCAAAUGUGACCCCCUAUACUCAUGCUACCAGAGGAGAAAGUCCUUCCGUGUAGUUAAGGGAAAGGAUUUCUUUAGCUCCUCUCUGGUGAAGUCACAAAUAAUCUCUCAGAAGGCAUUAUUUAUUUUACUUUGUCUUUUUUUGUUUUAAUAAAUGAAAUGGCAUGACGGCUCACCAGCUGCUUUUUGCAAUGAAAAAAGAUAACACAUUGCGAUUGCCAGAAACAGAUGUUGAAGAGGCCUAGAAAUCUGAUUUUUCCACAUCAGGGACCCUGUUGUGUAUUGAAAUAAAUUGACGGGUUUACUGGAAGCUAGAUUGUUGGUUUCUUUGAGGUUGCUCGCUCAUUGCAUUAGAGAAGGGGUCCGGGGAACGCCAUAGAAACGGAUGGGCCCCGGAGGAGCCCUUGCCUGCCACGGGCUCCUGCUACUUCGGGCUGACUGGCUCCAUGUAACACAGCAUUCCCCUGCCUGCUCACUCAUUGCCAUCGUUGACCCAUGCCCGGUGUAAACAUGGAUGGGGUGGACAGAGACAGUCUAUUCUGGUUAAUGAAU
ensembl:lncRNA